rnacentral:rRNA from 1 species
AACGAACGCUGGCGGCAUGCCUAACACAUGCAAGUCGAACGAUACCUUCGGGUCUAGUGGCGCACGGGUGCGUAACGCGUGGGAACCUGCCCUUAGGUUCGGAAUAACUCCCCGAAAGGAGUGCUAAUACGGGAUAAUGUCUUCGGACCAAAGAUUUAUCGCCUUUGGAUGGGCCCGCGUUGGAUUAGCUAGUUGGUAGGGUAAAAGCCUACCAAGGCGACGAUCCAUAGCUGGUCUGAGAGGAUGAUCAGCCACACUGGGACUGAGACACGGCCCAGACUGCUACGGGAGGGAGCAGUGGGGAAUAUUGGACAAUGGGCGAAAGCAUGAUCCAGCAAUGCCGCGUGAGUGAUGAAGGCCUUUGGGUUGUAAAGCACUUUUACCCGGGAUGAUAAUGACAGUACCGGGAGAAUAAGCUCCGGCUAACUACGUG